rnacentral:rRNA from 1 species
UAUCAUAAUCACUUGACUCAGCUGGGAGUUAAUCUUCUAGAUGAUAGUGUUAUUGACAGAGUUCUCCAAUCACUGCCACCAAGCUAUAAAGGCUUCAUGAUGAACUAUAAUAUGCAAGGGAUGGAGAAGACAAUUCCCGAGCUCUUCGCAAUACUCAAAGCUACGGAGGUAGAAAUCGAGAAGGAGCAUCAAGUGUUGAUGGUCAACAAGACCACUAGUUUCAAGAAAAAGGGCAAGGGAAAGAAGGGGAACUCCAAGAAGAAUGGCAAGCAAGUUGCCACUCCCGGGAAGAAGCCCAAAUCUGGACCCAAGCCUGAAACUGAGUGCUUCUACUGCAAAGGGACUGGUCACUGGAAGCGAAACGGCCCCAAGUAUUUGGCGGAUAAGAAGGAUGGCAAAGUGAACAAAGGUAUAUUUAAUAUACAUGUUAUUGAUAUGUACCUUACUAAUGCUCGUAGUAGCACCUGGGUAUUCGAUACUGGUUUGGUUGCUCAUAUUUGUAACUUGAAAUAG